GCGGGUUUAGCUCAGUUGGGAGAGCGUCAGACUGUGAGUACCACUAAUCCACUGUCAAGUCCCUUGCCAUCAGACAUCUAACAACCAGUAGGAAGAAAACUUCAGCAAGGAAUCUGAAGGUCGUGUGUUCAAUCCACACAAGCCGCA